UAUAAAUGUUGCGGCAACAUCCGGAUGAUCAGGACCUGAUGACAAGCCAAGAAGAAGCAAGGCCCGUGACAUAUGCCUCAAUGCAAGUUCUGUUUGGUUAAGACCAUGAUAGAAAAGAGCCAUGUUUCCAUAACUGUGUGCAGUGUCAGGAUGGUCCAGUCCAAGGCAUCUUUCAUUUAUGAUAAGUUCCUUGUGCUGUUGCAUUAUAGCACCAGCCAUAUCUCCAGCAUGAUAUAGAACCAUAGCAAGGUAGCGACAACAAUUGGCAACUUCCCGGUGCAUCGGACCCGUCACCUGCUGAAGUAUUGUGAAUGCUUCGGAAAAUAAAGUGUAGGCCUCACUAAGCAAACCCUCAGCUAAUUGAGCCUUUCCUGUUUCAACAAGGUCCUUAGCUUCUGAACUAACUGGGAUAGAAUGCUUCACCACUGGUUGGAGAUUCAUAAUAUCUGAUGCUUGAAAAGGUGCAACAGAGUCAAGGUCAUAUUUACGAGCUGCAACGGUUACACCUACCUUCUGACAGAGAUUGCGUACAACUGGAAUUUUCUUUACCAGCAUUUUUGCAUCGUCAGGCAACUCAAACUGAUACUUGAGUUUCGCAAAUUCUUGGAUGUCAGACCACAAACUGUCAGACGUGAUACUCAAAUAGGAGGACUGUUUCUUCUUGGCAGAUCCUACAUUUUUUCGCUUUCCCUGUCCCUUGGAUGACUUUUGCUGGUUCCCAACGUGGUCCUUCUUUUGGUUUCUAGAACUGUUGGCGCCGCCUUUAUUAGAUACUGUUUGCAUAUUUCCAAACAAACAGUUGUAAAAAUGUGAGAUUGUGUUUGCAAGAUCAUGGUCCUCAGCAUCCCUCAGCAAAUCCUUGAGGAUGUGCUUUGCACAUCUGACAAGAAUCUCGUUGGAACAAAGAUCCCAUAAAUGAGGCAAGUUCCUAGUUCCCUCGGCCACUGUUCCUAGAUAACGCAAAUUAAUUCCAUGUGCAUGGAGGGCCUCAGUUAAAGUUUGCCCAUCCAUGGGUGAAACUUCAAGUGUGCAGAGAUCUUGAACGAACUUCGGAAGCACAGUGUCUUUCAGAUACAAACUCACUUUCUUCACAAGUUCUUGGUCAGCAACUAUCUCCUCUUCACUUCCAGCCAACUUAAAAUCUGUAAAGACGUUAGGAUUGAAAAGUAUAUCAUCAGUAUCUUUUCUUCCUGAGUGAAAACAGCCGUUGUUGGCAGCAUCCUUCACACUUUUCUCUCCCUCAUUGCUGUUAACUUCAGUCGGGGCAACGACGUCAUUUGCGGGUAAUUCUUCAGUGUUAUUUACACUAGUACAAUCAGAGGCCACUGGUGCCUCCCUUUCUAAGUCACAAUUGGAUUUUGAUCUCUCGGCAACUUCAGCUUGGCAAAAUGCAGUUAUCAACUCAGGUCGCAAAAUACAAAAUCUGGAACCUGGACCAGUAUAAUUUGCAUCACGAGGAGUGACCCUCAUCAAGUCCAACAGAUAAUGCCUAUCAUCACUACCAACAAUGCCCUUGCAUUCCACCGGUGCAGCUAAUUUGAAUUCAUUUCCAGAUCCAUCAAGGACUGUAUGUUCCUUCAAGUGCAGACGUUUUGCAGCUUCUAGCACCUUAGAAUGGAACUCGUCACUCCAGCAGAUUUUCUUGCCAUUAUCAACAGAACCGUAUAAGAGGGAAUCUGAUUUAUCACCUUGAAGGAUACCAGGUAAAACACUCUGGGCCACCACUCUAUGUCCUCUAUAAUCAAUUAUCGCCAUAGCUAGGUUGUACAGUCCAUGGAUAUCAACUUCCUGAUAUGCUUUUGUGCCUUUCAAGUCAUUAUUUGCGCUUGCAUAAGUGGCUUGCUCGCUUUCAGUCAACUGAGUUUCACCGGACACUUCAGGAGGACAAUCCAAGAUGAUGUUUGCAGCUUCUACAACUGAGCCAACAUGCUCAUUUCCAUUGGAAACAUCGGAGACUCCCUGUGGCAAAUUAUUGGUGGUUUUCUCUGACAAAUUACGUAAUAAGCCUGUACCCUCAACUUUAGAAUCAGCCACCUGUUUCUUGGACAGUUGCUCAAGAUCCGCAUCAACAGCAAAGCUGAAGAAUAUAUUAUUGUGGACAUACAUAUGAAAGCACUCUGGA
rnacentral:misc_RNA from 1 species